GAUGAAGAACGCAGUGAAAUGCGAUAAGUAAUGUGAAUUGCAGAAUUCAGUGAAUCAUCGAAUCUUUGAACGCACAUUGCGCCCGCUGGUAUUCCGGCGGGCAUGCCUGUUCGAGCGUCAUUUCAACCCUCAAGCUCUCCGGAGUUUGGUGUUGGGGCGCCUGGGGCUUUUCGACCUCAGGGCCCUCAAGUCCAUCGGCGGGACCGCCAGGACACUGAGCGCAGUAGUAUUAUUUCGCUCGGUAGGAUCUUCCACGGCGGGUCGAUCUGGCCGCUAAACCCCCCAAUUCUCACCAAAGGUUGACCUCGGAUCAGGUAGGAAUACCCGCUGAACUUAAGCAUAUCAAUAAGCGGAGA
rnacentral:misc_RNA from 1 species